rnacentral:rRNA from 1 species
GACGAACGCUGGCGGCGUGCUUAACACAUGCAAGUCGAGCGGUAAGGCCCUUUCGGGGGUACGACGAGCGGCGAACGGGUGGAGUAACACGUGGGUGACCUCGCCCUCCAGCUCUGGGAGUAAGCCUGGGGAAACGUAGGGUCUAAUACUGGAUAUGACUCCACGGUGCAUGUCGUGGGGUGGAAAGCCUUGUGCGGCUGAGGAUGGGCCC